GGAUCGAUGAUGACUCCCCUCAAAUGCAUUCCUUGGAAAGCUGAACAAAAUGAGUGAGAACUCUCUACCGUCAGCGUUCUCAUCGAAACUGAGGUCC